UUUUUUUGUUUUUGUUGAUCCUGUGCUUACACAUUGCUAUGUGCAGGGAGAGUUGCUUUGUCCAGUAUGUCGCAGAUUUGCGAAUUCCAUUCUUCCAGCAUCAACUGAUUUCUCUAGUAAAACAUUGAAGGGGAAACCAUUUGUUGAAACCUUGACCCGUGAAGUUGUUAUUACAACUACGUCACAUCUAAAUACAAGUCACUUACAGUUUCCUCGAGCACUAUCACUUCUUGAAAGUGCUGGAAAAACUGUUGGACAAAGCAAGUUUCUAAAAGCUUUAUCAGGGAAGCUUAAUGAUACUACAGAGUCAUCCCUAGAACCUUCUCUUCGAAGAUUAGCCAUGCUUUACUAUCAUCGUGGUCCCAGCGGUUUUUCAGCAUCUGAAAGGAAAAGGCUCAAUCCAUCCUUGUUUCUCUGGGAUACACUAAGGUACUCUGUGGUAUCUACAGAAAUUGCUUCUCGUGGUAGGAUGUUAAACCAGUCUGCUGAGUCAAAGUCCUGCUUGGAAUCUUUGCGUGGUGAACUGAAUUCAUCAAGUGGAUUCAUAUUGUCCCUAUUAUUCCGUGUUGCUCACUCUGCACGAAAUUUGAAUCGUCUUGAGGUUCUUUUAAGGUUUGAAGGUAUCCAACUAUUAGCGGGGUCUAUUUGCUCUUGCAUUUCUGGUUAUAAAGACGUUCUUAAUGCUACUAAGCGAAAAGGUAUAUAGUGCACCCUUUCCCAUUACUUUUUUUAAUGUAUUUACCUGCAUGUUAGAUGGUACUCUUUUCCUUUGUUUUGAAGUGUCCUAUUAAUCCCAGUUCUAUCACAAAUCAUGACUUUUCUAUUUCAUUCAGUUUGGAAUUUACAAUAUUUACAAUUAAUACAAUAUAUUCAAAUUCAUGGAUUCUUAUAUGUUAGUGAUUUGAUGAUUGAUAUGUUGGUUCUUAAUUGUUAGUGUUUGUAGAACGGGUUGAUUCUUUUUUUUUUUGGCAGUGCUACUAUUAUCUUGUUGUUUUCUCUGUUGUGCUGACUAUGUUGUGCUGAUUAAUUGUUAUUGUUUCUGUCUUAGAUCAGAUGUACAAUUUUUUGUGGAGUGUCACUAUUGCCUUUGCUUUAUUAUUGUCCUGAUUUAUAUGCUAUGAACCAUUUUAAGUUUUUAUCUUAUUUAUGAUCCUAUUUUGCUUUCCUCUUGAAAGCCCUAAGUGUUGUAUAUCCUGCAUCUUUGUAUUGGUGAUUGUUAGUUUUAUAAUUUGUAUCUAACUGAAUUUUGAGUUGAUAGUACUUGCAUAGUGAAGAAUUCUUGUCUAGAUAUACUUGCAUUGAUUUUGAAGUAAUAAAUAAACCUUCCAACUUGAUGUAUUAGUAACAAAGUGCCUGAGUAAAGAAAUUGAUUUUUUCUUUGCAAAGACCUAAGCAUUCAUUAUCCAGUGCUCGUUAAAGAAACUAAAUCAAAAGGGCGCGGACCAGUUGUUGUAGGUUCUGUGCCUUUCAACAAAGUGCCUGAGUAAAGAAAUUGAUUUUUUCUUUGCAAAGACCUAAGCAUUCAUUAUCCAGUGCUCGUUAAAGAAACUAAAUCAAAAGGGCGCGGACCAGUUGUUGUAGGUUCUGUGCCUUUCAAGAAGGCUCCAUUACAUGUCAAAGUAGAAGUUGACCUAAACGAAAGUCAAUUUUCUUGUAGAACUGAUUUGGUCAUCAUAAUAUGCUAACAUUAGAUGUCUGAUGUACAAGAAAAAUAUCAAGAGGUAGUAUUUGGUUCUAAUGAUCAUAGCCCGGCAACUUGCGAAUUGCAUUUCUAAAAUUUGUGUUGCUGGCCUGGAUGGAACUUGAAUUAUUCUAUCUCUUGUGCACAUCAUGUCUCCAAAUCACUUACUCCCUCCGUUCCAAAUUGUAGGUCGUUUUGGCAUUUCUAGAUUCAUAGCUUUUAAUAUGUUUUAAUAUGUAUCUAGAUGCAUAGCAAAAACUAUGAACCUAGAAAUGCCAAUUUGGAAUGGAGGGAGUAUGGAAUAUAUAUUUAGGUAUCAAUUCUCACCUUUUUCAUCUUCAACAGGCUCUUUGCCACCUAUGGUUGAUCCAGGUGAGGAGGGUCCCCUCUUCCCUGACGUCCAAUUUUGGAAACAGUGUGCUGAUCCAGUCCUUGCUCAAGAUCCAUUUUCUUCUUUGAUGUCAACACUUUUCUGUCUACCUGUUCAGUUUGUAUCAUCUGCUGAAUUCUUCAUCCCUUUUGUCCAUCUGUUUUAUGUUGUUUGUGCCAUUCAGGUAUGCUGUUUGGUGUUGCUUUCUCUUGAGAUUUGCAGUUUAUAUGUUAGUUUUAUUUGAUUUAAAGCAUGUUAUUACAUGAAUUUUCCUGUAGGCCCUGAUAACAUGCUACGGAUCGGAAACUUUUGACCGAUCUAGCUUCAGUGACUGCCUUCUUAAUGAUGUUUGCAAGACAAUGUCAGGAUAUGAUAUUGCCAGAGAGUAUUUUGUAUCCAAAUAUAUCGACCCGUAUUGUCAUCCAAAAGAUAUGGUCCGUAGAUUGACGUAUCCUUAUCUUCGGAGAUGUGCAUUGCUUUGGGAGCUGCUAAGAUCGUCUGCCACAUCACCCUUAUAUGACAAUUCCAAUAUUUGGGAAGGAUCACAUCUUUACCUGAGCAAUAGCACACAAGAUGGAAGUUCUUCACUGGCAAUGGAGCUAAAUGGAAUAAGCGAAUUGGAAAAGCUGUUCCAGAUUCAGUCACUGGACCUGAUUCUCCGAGAUGAAUCUGUACAUGUGCUGGCCUUAAAAUGGUCUCAACAUUUCUGUGAAGAUUACAGUUCUCGCAAAUAUAGAGGCUCUCUCUUUUCUACCCCUGCAGUUCCAUUUAGGCUGAUGCAACUACCACCUGUCUACCAAGUUCUCCUUGAAAGGUUUGGUCUGAAUCUUCUAAGCUGAGAUGAUGUUUUGCAUGGGCUGUGCCUUGAUGGGCUAAGCUUUUCCCACAUUUCUGGAGCUAAUGGCUUGUCAUUUUUUGGAUCAGAUAUAUCAAGAUGCAAUGCCCCGAUUGUGGCUCAGUGCCUGAUGAACCGGCAUUGUGUUUGCUUUGUGGCAAACUAUGUUCACCUAGCUGGAAACCAUGCUGCAGGUGAUAGCACUUUGCUUUUUACAGUUCCAAGUAGCCUUGUUUUGGUUCUACUGUAAUUAAUGCUAAAUCCUAAUUAUUGUUUAUUCUUUGUAGGACUGGUAAAUGCCUGAAUCAUGCAUCACAAUGUGGUGCCGGUGUUGGCAUAUUUCUUUUAGUGAGGGUAUGUAUUAGCUUAUUAUUUGCCAUCACACCAAAUUAUUAUGGCCAGUGUACUUUCCUUUGUUCUUUCUGAGACCAAGCUCCUUUCCUAUUUUGACGGAUGUGCUGUGCAGAAAACAACGAUCCUGUUGCAGCGAUCUGCUCGUCUUGCCUUUUGGCCAUCUCCUUACCUUGACACGUUUGGGGAGGAGGUAUUGAAUAAUUUCGUAUGCUUUGUUGUUGUUUAUGGACUUAAGCCUGUUUGUUACGAUCCCCACUAAAUUUUCCUCCCAGGUCUCAAAUGGGAGCUUUUUUCUUUUUGAUGUUAUCCUCGUGCUUCUCCAUGAAGCAUCUCUUACAAUAGCAAUACAAAGUGAUUUAUGAUGGCUUGAUGCCGUGCCUAAUCAUCUGAGACCUUUUAUAGAUCAAUGCUGUGCCUAAUCAUCUGAAUCUUUUGAUACAUCAGACAUACUGCUGUAGGUCUGAUGGCGUAUUGAUCCUCUUCACUUUCUGUUUUCUGUGGAUAAACAUUGAUUAUUUAAGGUUAAUAUGGGUGGUAGUUUAUGCCUAGCUUGCAAGGCAAAUGCACUGUUAAGUGGGGGUAGUUGAGAUUUGUCCUUGCAUAGUUGCAUUCAUACUGCAAGGUCAUUAGACAAAUGCCUACAUACAAAAUUUUGCAAUGAGGUAAAGGGGGAUUUUUUUUUACAUGUCUAGAUGUGAGCUUAUUCCCCUUCCCUUCUGGCUUUCUGUUUGAAUGCAGGAUCAUGAAAUGCAGAGAGGAAAGCCUUUGUAUCUAAGUCAAGAAAGAUACACAGCCUUGACCUAUCUGGUAAUAGGCUGACACCCUUUCCUCUUUGCUUUCUCGACUUAAUGCUAUUAGGAAUUUGCACCAUUUUUUAUAAAUGGGAUGCAUGCCCUUUUUUAUGUGAUAGGUGGCAUCUCAUAGCCUUGAUCGAACUUCUGAAGUCCUUCGGCAAACGACUAUCAGCUUUUAUGGAUCUGGAUCUGAUUAAAUGCAAUUUCCAUGGAACAAUGUUGAAAGGUUUGGAUUAUGUUUAUGUUUGGCAUGUUGGAUUUAGAGAAUGGAAGGAUUGGCAGCUUUGUUUUCCCAAAUGCUUGUUCAUUGGUCAUAAUGGUUGGUUUAGGUGACAAACGGAAUUUGAUUAGUUAGCAAGGGCAUAUUUGUACUAUGGUAUGUGGUCACUAUUUACUUCUCUUAGUAGGCGUGCACAAAUCUAAACAUUGAAUAUAGAAAGAAGACGGAGUAAUCUUAACAUGUGUAUUAGACCCACCAGAGCAAUUAUGCUGCUGGCAGGUCACCCAGCCACAAACAAGUUUUGUCAUGUACAGUUCUAUGAAAGAGCUUGCCAAUGGAAUGAGAGGGGGCCAAUAAGAGAGUGGAUUAGAUAACAAUUAAGUGGUGACAUAGGGCAUUGCUUACCCUUGGCCUUAGAGAAGCUUUGCAAUUGUCUUGAACUGCAACAGCAGUACUCCCUCCGUCCCAAAAAAAAAAGUCAUUAUAGGAAGUUUAAGACAUACUAAUAAGGAGGUAAAAUGACCUUGUUUACCCCUAUUUAUUAGCCAUAUUUAGCACAAAUGGACAGCAUUAUGCAUAUGCACAUACCAAAUAGGGUAGAAUGACUUGUUUUUUGGGACAAAUCUUGAACCCUAGAAUGACUUUUUUUUUGGGAAGAGGGAGUACAUGAUAAUCUCUGUCGAAUCAUCACCGCUCACACCUUUAGCAGGACAAAUUUUACAUUGCAGUGUGAUACUAGGGUUAUUGUUAAUUUAUCAUUUGCUGCCUUGUCAGGGUCUUGUGGAUGUGCAUAUUUUUGGGAACUCUAGUGCAACUUGGUGUUCAUAUUUUCCAGCGGUAACAAGUGUUACCUCUCCCAAGGUUUACAUCUACAAGCUUCUUUUGCUAAUGGGCGUUUAAGUGCAAAAUGCUGUGACAUGCCUGUGCCAUUGUUUUCGCUUCUGAUUACUUGUCGAUCUUCCGGAUGGCGUGGAUCCUGCAGGCUUUGCCACCGGUCGUGCUUGGGGGCCCUGCCGUCCUCUCUUGCUGAAUGUACGGUUGUUUUCAUGCUUCUUUUCAUUGUUCAUGGCCGGUGCUUCCCAAAGUGGAUGAUAGGUAGGCCUAGUGGCGACCUGGAAUAUUUGACGAUCGACUGCUUGAUCUGUCUGUACAGUGUAUUACAUUGGAUCGGUGUAGUUAGUAUGAAAAAGGCAGGCAAGUGCCAUUUGGUCAUCAUGUGCUUUUGUGUACCAUGUUGCUUUGUCAUUUGUCUGCUGAAUCUUUCGAGUUCUUGUUUCUUUUUUCAUGCAAGUUCUUGUGUUGAAGCGAGGUCAGAGUGCUCUGCAUAGGCACUAACACAUUGUUUCGUUGCAGCACUAACACUCAGCUUGGGAGCGUCCCUUGUUGCAACCUACGUACGGUGUGCUUUGCUUCGAAGGUUGGGUAGAAAAGCAAUGAGAAGUCGCAUGAAAGAAAUGAGUAUUCAAGUCCGCAUAUCGCAUAAAAGGUGUAACGGUAAUUAAAAAAAACUCGACGAGUCCAAGGCUUCAAGCCUUGGAAACACAGUGGCUGUACCAGGUGUAUACAAAAGUCAUCUGCGGGAGUACUCAUCAACCAACUUCGUUCAGCUUGAAGAUAGAGGCUGAACAUCCGGCGAUGGACCAUGUUGCUUGGUUCUUCUUCGAGGAGGCACCUCCUGAAUUGCUCUGCUUUGGCGCAGCCAACCAUCUCCAGACGUUUCAGCUUGCCUAGAUUCUCUGCCUGGUCCAGGGCUGGACAGUCCUGCACGAACAAAUCCUCAAGCUUGGAAAGAUUGGCGAUCCUCGUAAGGCUUCGGUUGUGCUUCACCUUGAGCCACACAACAGCGGGAAGGUCCACAAAUCUCAUGUAGGCUAUGCGCACCUUCGACAAGUUUGCAGCCCUGUGCAGAUCUUGAGGGAGUGCCCUCAAUUUUGGACAAUGCAGUAGCGACAGACGCUUGAGGAGAGGCAUCAGUAUCACCUGGUUGGGGGAGUCUCCGAUUGUGUUCUGAUUGCACAUGCCUACUGUGCUCAGUGAGCAGGCCUCCACAAUUUUAUGAACAUUACAUUCAGCUCAAAUUCCUCAAACAAGACAUUGAAAAGCGAGGGCAGGAGAUUCAGCACGCUCAAACAAUACAAAAACGCCUUAAGCGAUCAUAUAAGCACACUGCAAAAAAGACAGAAGGCGCCACUGAAGAGGUGAUUUACAGCUAUCAAUCAACAAAAUUUCCGAUUCGACUACAAUUUUUUUGUAUCGAACACGCAAGAGAUUUGACUUGGUCAAAGUUGUGUUUUGAAGACUGGGUACUGCUUAUUUGGAACUGGAGUGAGCAUUAUACGUGUUUUCUUUAUGAAUAAUGUACUAUAAGAACAAAACAAAAGUUGUUCCAAACUAACCAAAUAAAAGUUCGCAGUAGAAAACUAUUGCUACAGUUAUAUCAGUUCCUUUUUGCGCAGCAUCCAUCUUUGGCGACAAUGGAUGGUAAUGUGUUCAAAUUUUAUUCCGUUCGGGUGCAAGUCUACUGUUGAAUGGCUUGGCUUCAAAACUUUGCCGCCCAGUUGUGCCUUGCGGACUUGCAGUUGCGGUGGUUGCCCACUACUUCAGCUUCCAACGGUCCAAGGUGUUUUGCACCAGCCACCAGGUACUGUGCCAUUCUGAAGAGCAUAUCAAAUUGUCGAGGAUUUUGGCCCAUAGCCAGACAUCAUACCACAGUCCAAGGUGCACACUGCAAUCCACCGUCGGCGGACCUGCUGAUCACAUGAACAAUGUCUGGUGUUGAUGGACGGCUAGUAACCAUGAUACCGGAACAAUUUACAAGGACGAAUGACGUUUCAGAGUAUCAGUAAAGAACAUUGCCAAUCACAAAAGGAGAAUAUAAGCUGAGAAAUUGCUGAAACAGUAGCAAAGCCUAAAUGUUGAUAACAACAUAUCAGUAUAUCACAUUAGAAAUGAAGCCAUACACUUUACUAAGCUAGUUUGCUCACCUUUCUAAUGAUAGAGAGAUUCAUCUGGAAAUAUAUCUCGGCCAUCCGCACCAACUGUUGCAACAUGUACUCAGAUGUCUUGUUCUUCUUUCAGGAGACAAUUCCUGAACUGCUGUCCGUUCAGGCAGUCAACCAUGUACAAGCACUUCAGUGAAGAUUGGAGAUUCUCCUCAAAGAUUUAUUGUUCUUGACCGUGAGCCACAAAACUUCAGGAAGGUUUACAACUUGUUGAAGCUUGUGAGCACCUUCAAUGUGAAUCCUUUUUAAAUUAACAGCUCUAUGCAAAUCUUCAGGGAGAGCUCUUAGUUUAGGACAAUCAAGGAGCAACAGGCGCUUAAGGCAAGGCAUCAGAACGAGCUGUUGAGAUUUGGUCUCCAUGUUAUUACACAAGCUUCUUGUUUUGAGGGACCAACUUUCCAAAUUGCGCAUGCGAAUGAUGUGAAGCAAUUCGAGCUUUGGGAAAACAGCUGCUGCUUUAGUCACACCUCUCCCCAGGAAUUCUGCACCCAUAGUCACUACUGCACCUGCACCUCUAAUCUGAAGAACUAGUAGUUCUGGCAUCUGGCCUACUGGUGGUAGUUGUAAACAUGAUAUGCACUCAUUGAGCUGCAUGUGAGACAAAUUUGGAAGCUUAUACUCUGGCUCUGAACAUAGCCAUUCUGGGAACCUUACACCAGGGAACCCAACAAAGAAAAUGUAUAAUAGGCUUGGUGAUGGAAUAAGCAUCUCAUAGACUUGCUGAAUUUUCUCAAUCUCACUGGCUUGGUAAUGAGUUUUAUCAUGAAUAUUCAUGCCCACUGUGCAGCACAACCCCAGUUCUCUGGCUUGGUAUUGCCUUUUCAAGCUUCUCAACCCAGAGGCGUUGGAUAUUGGUGAGACAUUUUAAUUCAUCCAAUCUGAACCCAGUCUCACUUUCAAAGACACCUCUGAGGUAGUAGAGCUGCUGGAACUGGCAAUUCCUUUUGGAACAUGAUCAAUAGCAGUCUUUUCAAGUUUAAGAAAACUUAUCUGUGAUAGUCUCAUUAAACAAACUGUCAGACUAUCCAACUUAUGGCAACCACGCAAUGAGAGAGAUUCAAGGCUGGUAAGCCUUCCAAUCGAAUCUGGAAGUUUGCUGAUCUCUGUAUAACUUAGAUCUAGCAACCUCAACAACACCAGGUUUCCCACUGACUCUGGAAUGAUUAGGAUGCCCGAUCCACUUAGAACUAAGACACGGAUGUGCUCAAGCUUUCGGAAAAUAUUCGUGUUAACUGACUUGAAGUUCUUGUUAUUGAAAAUUAGGAGGCUCCUCAUGCAUUUAUACUCUCCUAUAGCAGGUAUUUCUUCUACAGAACUGCUGAUACUUAAGCACCGCAGAUUAGGCGGAACUUCAUUAUUUUCUGCAUUCAUGAAUAAGGAAUGAUACCUUGUCAAAUACUGCCCAAGUGACCUCAAUAGAUCGUGCAUUGUUGAAAUACCUUUGUCCACGAAUUCUGGUUUUGGUUGCAGAAGAUUCCUCGUAAUUAGCUCAUAAUAGUAUUCUUCAGCAAUUGCAUGAAUCGAGCACUUGUGAUCUUUCCUCACAAAACCUUCAGCAACCCACCAGUAAGCAACAGCAUUACGCUCGAUUGCAAAAUUUGGAGGCAACAAAGCACACUCUUAAGUUGAGGGGUUAAGUUGCUAUAACUCAUAUAUAGGGGGCCUCCUAGUUCUUUGGGAAGUCCGUGGAUAGACCAGUUGCUAUCUCGGAUGCUCUCCCAUUCUGCCCUUGUUCUUUUAGUAGAUAGAACACCCGCAACAACCGCGAUGGCUAGAGGAAGACCAUCACAUUUUCUUACUAUUUGACACCCAACAUCACUAAAUUCAUUUAGUUGCACAUAUAUGGUCGGAAAGACUUCUUCAUUAGAAGUUCCAGGCCAUCAUAAUCAUUCAUUUUGUUUACUUGGUGAGUAUAUGUUGCGUGCAUUCCUGCCAAAACAUCCAGGUUUCUUGUGGUGACAAGGAUAUUUGCAUUCGAGCAUCUCUUGAAAGGCGAUCGGAGAAGAUCAAUCCAGACAUCAGAUUUCCACGCAUCAUCUAAAACAAGAAAUACACUCUUUCCUCUGAUAGUGUCCAUCAGAUGGAAAAGAAGUUCGGUCUUGGUCUCAAGCUGACCACAUGUUGCUCCAGCCAUUCGUAUUGCCUGCCUUGGCAAACCAAUCUCUGUGUAGCUCUGAGAAACGCACAACCAUAUAUGAACUUGGAAUUUCUCCCUUAUCCUCUGCUCAUUAUAUAUCUUCUGAGCUAAUGUUGUCUUACCAAUGCCUCCCAUCCCUUGAAUACCAAAAACAGUUGAUUUGUCUUCAUGAAAAUUACUAAGAAUCAUUUUGACCAUGUCAUCAGUCGCCUGUCUGAUAUCUCUUCCAAAAACCUCUAGUUCAUCUAUGGGUGAUGUCUGACUUCUAUCCACAACAGGUACUUGAUACUGUUGACUACUGGUCCUCUCCAAGCUGAUGAACAUGUUUCUGUUCUUUUGAAUUUCAUCUAGCUUUCUGUUUAUAUCCUUGAUUCUUUUAGCAACCCUGUGAUCAAAUGAAAGUUUCGCGAUAAAGGACAAAAGGGACUGGUUGCAACAUUCCAUUCUAGGUGGCAGCAAUAGCUUCUGUGAGUGAACCAUGAAGUGAUCUAUGACAUCAUCCACAUCAAACAUAACGUCAGUCAUGUUCUUCCACCAUGACUCUGCCCCCCUAUCUUGCUUCAGCAUCCUCACCAACAGCGCCAAAAUGUUCCAGAUUUUUCUUGAGCCUCUUGAUAUCCCUUUUCACACUCAAUGUCAUUGCAACUUCAUCCUGGAUAAUCUGACUAAGCUUUGCCAGGAAUUUUGAAGUGAGAGCAUCCAAAAAUGCACCCAUACUGCUCAAACAGCUAGACCUAUGGAUUGUCACCGGAUCUCACUUGCCCUCAAGCUUCAGAUUGUAUAUGAUAUAUCUCAGUUAACCGCAGCUCAUUCGAGAUUGGAAAGGGUAGGAGAUGUUGAAAUAGAGGGAGUGCAGUUUGAUGGAAUUGGAGAGGCCAAUGCACAAGUGAGCUGUUAUAAGUUCCCAUCACUGUAAAGACCCGACCUAAUCAUAGACACCUAAUGUCUUGGGCAUUCCCAUUUGCUUCCAAUCUUUUCAACACAGGUAAGAACAUAUAUCUCAAAAAACAAAGGACUAUUGUUGCAGACUUGCUGACGGGAGGGAAAGAGUCGCCACCAGAAAAUAUUUGUUUGACGGCAGACAUUCGUGCAUUUCCUCGAACAGUCCAUAUGCGUUCAAUCGUUGGUCUCCAACUCUCCGUAGACUAAGUUUCUUGUUUAUAAAAAAAAAUCGAGAGAGAAGAAUUUGCGAUAGCUGCUCCAUCGUUUUCGCCAAUCUACGUACAGAGAGAGAGCGAUCAAAACAGGCCGUCUACUAACAUCACCAGAAACAAAUCAGCCCGAAACUUCCAUUAGAUUUGUAGGCUUUUUCGCAGAUACACAGAGAGACCUGCAUGAGAAGCGCGCGCUGCGGUUGUCCACUGCAUUGAUUGGUUGGCGACGCCGACUACCGGCCGCGGCGAUAGCCACAGCUCGUCGGCCGGCAGCGCCGCCCACCGCCGGAGAAGAAGCCUGCCAUCCAGGGGCUCCACAUGUUUAUCGGGCCCAGGCGCACAGCCCAGCCCAGCGACACGUUAGUACAACACAGGCCGGGCCCUCUCUCUCUCUCUGUUCGUGUCACGCCGCCCGGACCGCCCCCGGGUCCAGCAAACUAUGAUGAACAGCCCAACCUUGGUGGCCCUCAAAUCAAACCAAAACCAGGAGUCCAGGACCGUACAAACACAUGCUGAUCGAAUAGGCGAUAGGCCGAAGGUCUGCGAUUGAGAUGAUGAAUCGAUUUUUCUUUUUCACCAAUGUGGCAAUUUAUUAACUAUCCGCUUCCUCUCCCUUGCAAGAAGACAUUUUCGCCGUUGCAAGAAAAGCUCCCAGUGAAAGGGGGGCAAAAAAAAAUCAAGUCACACGACAUCGAGAGUACACAAAGAUGGUAGAUGCAUAUAGAUGGAUGGUUACACGAGACACUGAAGACAGUAAGCAGGCAGCACAUACAACACGGAGCAGAGCAUUGCCUGCUUGCUACACACACUGACACUGCUACAGAUGAGCCCCACAAGCGACCUGCCUGCGAGGAAGGACACGGCGACGACGGCGACUCGCAUCUCAGUACCAUUAUUCUUCUCCAUCAGUACGAUUACUAGCAGCAUGCGCAACACUGUUAUUAAGCAUGCCACACACACACUUAGGACACAACACUGCUAUACUAGGGUGUCCUUCCGAUCGCCUCCACCGGCCAGGGGCCGCGCCAUGAGCUCAUCACUUGCCGCAGGUGCAGGGGUUGCAGGUGCAGUUGGGGCCGCACUGGCACCCGCCGUUCUCGGCUCCGGCGGACGCCGCGCCGCCCUCGAACCCGCCGUCGGCGUGCCUGCGCAGAGAAAGCCAAGAUAUGACAGAGUCAGUGGCCUGGCUCAUACAUGCAUACAGAGCAUUUUUGGCAUGUUCGCUACCAGCAGCUACAUACGAGUGCAUGACGUCCCAGACUUCUCAGUUCAGGACAAAUUAAAGUUCUUUUUUUUUUCUUUCUGUUUUUGGGCCAGCAGUUUGUUUGUUUCAUGAUUGCCAAAAACUGCUUUCGUCGUAGCUUACUGCUCCCUGCUCGUUGCUGAUGGCGACUGAAAUUUGUACUACCACUAUGCGGACAAAUACCACAGCUACGCAUGCUAACAGAAGUUGGUACUGCUCCCUACACGAUCGAUCGAUCUACCCCCACAACACAAGGCAAAAGACAGUAAAAAUAGUACAGCUAGUAAUUCUGCACCACAGAAACUGACUGCUAUUAUUAGCAAAGGUGUGGAUGGUGGAUCAUUCAGAUCAACACAACACCGGAAUGAUCUAUGAGCAUGAUGUAGAUCAGUAGAUGGGAAAAGGGAUGGAUGAACAUACCCCUUGUUGGAAGGCGCAACGCCCGUGAUGACGGUCUGGGUGGUGGUGGUGCCCUGCUCAGCCAUGUCCGGGAACAUCUUGCACCUGCAGAUCAUGCAAGCGGCAGAUCAGCAUCAUCAGAAAUUUCCCUUGUUGAAGGAGCACAACUACAGCAUGCACAUCGUUUCAGAGAAACGAAGUUCAUCAGACAGGAAUUCACAUGCGCAGCAACAUGAGAAAACCUCUCUGUUUUUUUUCUAAAAUAAAAAAGGGGAGCUUGAUCUCCCAGCUCUACAUAUCCUAUACUCAAAGAUCCAUCCACAAAGGUCCAGCAAGAACACAAGAACAACCGAAUACAUGCAUUCAUAUGGGUAUUGACACAUGAUAGACACGCAUCAGACUAUCAGAGAUCUGAGGAGCGUGGCGUCGUGGGGCUUACCCUCCGCAGCCGCUGCCGCACUUGCAGCCGGACCCGCACCCGCAGUUGCCUCCGCAGCACGACAUCCUCGCGAGAUCGAUUCAGAGACGAACACAAGCAGAGAGCGGCGUUCUUGGCAAUGAGUCACUGAACAACAACGAGAUGCAGUAUGCCUUCCCCCUG
rnacentral:lncRNA from 1 species